GAUGAACGCUGGCUACAGGCUUAACACAUGCAAGUCGAGGGGAAACGACGGGGAGGCUUGCUUCCCCGGGCGUCGACCGGCGCACGGGUGAGUAACGCGUAUCCAACCUGCCUCUGACUGAGGGAUAACCCGUCGAAAGUCGGCCUAAUACCUCAUGGCAUCGUCUGCGGGCAUCCAACGACGAUUAAAGAUUUCAUCGGUCAGAGAUGGGGAUGCGUCUGAUUAGCUUGUUGGCGGGGUAACGGCCCCCCAAGGCGACGAUCAGUAGGGGUUCUGAGAGGAAGGUCCCCCACAUUGGAACUGAGACACGGUCCAAACUCCUACGGGAGGCAGCAGUGAGGAAUAUUGGUCAAUGGGCGAGAGCCUGAACCAGCCAAGUAGCGUGCAGGAUGACGGCCCUAUGGGUUGUAAACUGCUUUUAUGCGGGGAUAAAGUGAGGGACGUGUCCUUCAUUGCAGGUACCGCAUGAAUAAGGACCGGCUAAUUCCGUG
rnacentral:rRNA from 1 species